rnacentral:tRNA from 1 species
GGAAUGUGGCUCAAGUGGUAGCGCGCUCACCUGGCAUGCGUGGGGCCUGGGUUCAAUUCUCAGCACCA